GCUGCACGGUCAUCUCGCCCCGCGACGGAACACCCAAAACGAGCGCGCCCCGCUAUGUCUCGGCCGACCAGGUGGCACCUGGCGCUCACGGACGCACGAUCCGCGCGCAUCGAGCGGUCGAGCAACGGCCGCUCCGUUUCGUCAGAUAGUGCACGCGCACGAUGGAGCGUCCAGGACAUAAAUUAGGGUUCGACGUGGGGCCGGAGCUCAAUCGCCGGCGGAGAUGCUGGAUGAGAACCCGGCAUGGACGGGACAGAAGAGGCGCAAGUACGAAGCCCCAUCUCUUACGUCAUCCUCUGAUGCUUAUGGAGAGGCGAUUGGCCAGGACAACGCAGAACGUCCCAAUGAGAUCGCGGAUUCACCAGAUGAGCUGGCGGACCUGGAAAAUGAUGUCAUCAGCGAGGAGGAGUUCGGCGGAUGCCUUAAGGUUUUAGCCACCAGGCGUGCUCCUAUGAUCAUCACAGGGCGCAGGCUGGACGAGGAACAUCAACGCGAGCUCUACGAGCGCCUCACUCUCUACCGCAUCAAAGCUUCCAAGUUGGCACAAGGUUGUUUGCAUAGAUGAUCAGAACGAUGUGCCUUUGAGAAAGGAGUACUCCUCAGACAAUCUGGAGGACCUGUUUGAUUACUACAAGAAAGCUGACUCUGUGGAUUGGUACUUUGACCGUGGCUACUGUUUGCUCGCUGACUUGGAUGACUACCAGAGCCUUGUCCUUACUCCUUACCAAUGGAGAUGAUGGUAGAAGGUUCUGCGAUUGGGAAACAUACCGCUCAUUUUUUACUAGCUAUGAAAUUGAUGAAGAGUAUGUAAAGCUCUUUGAAGAAAUAUCAAAGAAAAUCAAGUGGCUUAAAACGUUAUAUGGAAUAUGAACGAGCAUCUUCCAAGUGGAAGGAGAUGGAUGAUAGAGGAUUCUGCCAAGCAGCGAAGAUUGCAGCAGGCUUUCCGCGCAUGAGCUAUAAGUUAACUUUAAUGGCCUAUGAGGAGAAUGUGUGGAAUCUGAUGUUUGAUUAUUGGCAACGUGAAGACAUUGAUCGUCUCUUUUUUGAGAUUUGGAAGUUUGCUACUAAGAAAAUGGGUGCCACUGAUAAGAAGGUUGAUUUUAGAGCUGGUUUGGUUGACGUCCCGAAGGAAUAUAUUCCCUCGAUAUAGAAAGAGAAUGCAAUUUGCACUGGAUCAUAGUAGUCUUUCUGAUUUGGAGUCAAAUUUUGAUACCUGCGUGGAAGACAUCCCUGAUGAUGUAAGUUUGGUGUAUAGUGGCCAUGUAUUUGCAGUGGUAAGGCAACAUUUCUUAAUCACAUCAAUGACACAAACACUGUUGUUUUUUUAGGCUACAGAGGAUGGAGCAUGGCGGUUGAUUACAUCGGCGGUUUGGAAUAAGCUUCAUAAACCCAAGAUGUGGCACCAAUAUAUUAUGAGGAAGAUGGAGAUUGCUAAACACAUUGGCUUGGGUCCACAAAAUUGACAUGUCUCGGAACCCAAGACACUUACAGACGUAGACAACUGUUCCUUGUGAAAUCUUGUCAGUUGCUCACUUGCAAAAUAAUGAUGUAUCCGUUGUAUUGCAUAUAUUGAUGUUAGACCGGUGCUGUUGUUGCCGUGGUAAAUUAAUAUGCUAUCAUGGUUAAAAAAUGUUUGCAAACUUUUCUAUGAUUACUUUAUUAGGUCUACAAUAGUUAUGGAACGCCUCAUCGUUUACCUUAUUUCAGUUUUCAACACUAUGGUGUCGAAGGCUUUGCAGUAAAGAGAUGAUAGUAUGACGUUUACCUUGUUUAAGUUUUCGACACUAUGGUGUCGAAGGGUAUGCAGUAAGAGAUGAUAGUAUGACACGGAGUAUCUGAGCUCGAGCUCAAAUGAGCUUGGAUGAACACUAAAAUCAAAAAAUAAUCAAAAAAAUCAUCAUGAGAUCACAUUCAUGGAAGGCUUGACAAAAAAAUCGAUGCUCCGAAAAUGCUACUAUCAAAAGCAUUUUGAAGCACUAAUUUUGUUUUUUUACCACGCCUUUCACCAAUGUGAUCAUGAAAAUUUGCAAGCACUUAGAACAUUUUUCAAAGUCUACCACAAAAAAAUUACAGAUUU